rnacentral:rRNA from 1 species
UACGUAGGGGGCAAGCGUUGUCCGGAUUAUUGGGCGUAAAGAGCGUGUAGGCGGCUUUACAGGUCCGUUGUGAAAACUCGAGGCUCAACCUCGAGACGCCGGUGGAAACCGUAAAGCUAGAGUCCGGAAGAGGAGAGUGGAAUUCCUGGUGUAGCGGUGAAAUGCGCAGAUAUCAGGAAGAACACCCGUGGCGAAGGCGGCUCUCUGGGACGGUACUGACGCUGAGACGCGAAAGCGUGGGGAGCGAACAGG